rnacentral:misc_RNA from 1 species
AAGAUUAAUAGGAAAGCUAGGAACAUGAAGACCGAAUUGAGAUUUAUUUUGGCAGUUCAUGUGAUAGAACCUGUACCAUAAAUUGUGUUUAAAGAGUCGUCUGCUAUGCGGACUUUUUCUUUUCUUGAGUAUAGGGAAUAGGUGAAAAAUUUAUUGAGUAUCCUGUCAUAUAUUUGUUUACUUCAGAAUCUAUAUCCCAACAAGAUUUAUAAAAAUUGACAAGAAAAACAUUACCUGAUUUGACAAAAUUAGAAGAGACAAGUGUGAAAGAUUGAGAUUCAAGUCAAGGCAGCAAGCGCUUUAGGGAUUGAACUUCUUCAUUGG